rnacentral:ncRNA from 1 species
CACAGUUUUGGUCCUGGACUGUGUACUGUUGUUUUUAGCCACAUUUACACAUGCAAGCAUCAACAUUCCGGUGCCACACCCCAUGUCUACCCACUAGACAGGACUAAGUAUCAGGCACGCCAAAUGCAGCCCAAGACACUAAGCCCAGCCACACCCACACGGAACUCAGCAGUGAUAAACAUUAAGCCAUGAGGCCCCCUCGACUUAGCUAUAGCUACAUCACAUUAACCAAGGGCCGGUAAAUCCCGUGCCAGCCACCGCGGUUAUACGGCAGGCCCAAAACAACAACUAGCGGCGUAAAUUGUGACUAGAUACAACUCCAAUAUCGGAACCAUACUCACUAGAAAGUUAUAAAAUACCCAUAAACAAAGAACAACAAAGCGGCUUCGUAUCAGGAACACUUUUGACCUCACGAAAGUUAGGACACAAACUAGGAUUAGAUACCCUACUAUGCCUAACCGUAAACCCAGACAGACAAAAACCACCUCUCCGCCAGAGAAUUACUAGCCCCAAGCUUAAAACUCAAAGGACUUGACGGUGUCCCACUACAACUAGAGGAGCCUGUCCUAUAAUCGAUACCCCACGUUUUACCUCACCCACCCUUGCCCCUCCGCCUAUAUACCGCCGUCGCCAGUCUACCUUGUGACAAAUGCCAAGUAGGCAAAACAGCUGCCCCCGCUAAAACGUCAGGUCAAGGUGUAGCCAAUGGGCGGGAAAGAGAUGGGCUACACUUCCUUUAAAAGAUCCCACAAAGCACCAUGAAACAGUGCCACCAGCAGGAUUUAGAAGUAAAUAGAAAGAGCUUUUUCCCUUGAAACUAACCAUGGGACGCGUACACACCGCCCGUCACCCUCCUCCCAACACAAACAACUAUAUAUAAUACAAGAUACAGACCAACAGAUGAGGCAAGUCGUAACAUGGUAAGUGCACUGGAAAGUGCACUUGGAACA